GGGCCCGCACAAGCGGUGGAGCAUGUGGUUUAAUUCGAUGAUACGCGAGGAACCUUACCAGGACUUAAAUGUAAGUUGCAUUAGUUAGAGAUAGCUAUUUCUUCGGACUACUUACAAGGUGCUGCAUGGUUGUCGUCAGCUCGUGCCGUGAGGUGUCAGGUUAAGUCCUAUAACGAGCGCAACCCCUGUUGUUAGUUGCCAUCGAGUCAUGUCGGGAACUCUAACAAGACUGCCGGUGCAAACCGUGGGAAGGUAGGGUGGAUGACGUCAAAUCAUCACGGCCCUUACGUCCUGGCUACACACGUGCUACAAUGGCCGGUACAGAGAGCAGCCACUACGCGAGUAGGCGCG
rnacentral:rRNA from 1 species